UUGAUCGCGCUCACGAUUUUUGGCGCAGUGCUGCUGAGGCAAAAAACCUCGACAGCCAGGAAAAGCGAACCAAAAACCCUAAACCUAGAGCGAGCAAUAUCGAUGGCGAAAUCGUCGACGUCCAUGGAGAAGCUUAAGGGAUUCUUGAGUUCUCAGAUCAGUGACGAGGAGAAGUGGGCUCUGAAUUCGCUGCUACGUGCUGCCGGGCUGUUUGCUGCAUCUAUAGUUCUAAUGCGCAACUUUGGAGAUCUUAUGGCUAUCUAAAGCUGAAGUAGUGGAUUGUAUUUCUUUUAUAUACUUAAAUGUUAUUUAGGAUGUUUUGCUUCCCAUCUUGUUAGCGGAUUGUAAUUCUUCUUUUAUAUACUUAAAUGUUAUUUCAGAUGUUUUGCUUGCAGUUUAUGUCAUAAGCUGCAUAUGCUUUUCAGGUAUCACGUUCAUAUGGCAUUUGGUA